GGGACAACAGCCAGAAAUGGCUGCUAAUACCGCAUAAGCCUGCUGUGCCGCAUGGCACAGCAGGGAAAACCACGGUGGUACAGGAUGGGCCCGCGUCUGAUUAGUUAGUUGGCAGGGUAACGGCCUACCAAGACAACGAUCAGUAGCCGGCUUGAGAGAGUGGACGGCCACAUUGGGACUGAGACACGGCCCAGACUCCUGCGGGAGGCAGCAGUGGGGAAUAUUGCACAAUGGGGGGAACCCUGAUGCAGCAAUGCCGCGUGGGUGAAGAAGCACUCCGGUGCGUAAAGCCCUGUCAGCAGGGAAGAAAAUGACAGUACCUGGACAAGAAGCCCCGGCUAACUACGUGCCAGCAGCUGCGGUAAUACGUAGGGGGCAAGCGUUAUCCGGAUUUACUGGGUGUAAAGGGAGCGCAGGCGGCGUGGCAAGUCAGAUGUGAAAACCCGGGGCCCAACCCCGGGAGUGCAUUUGAAACUGCCAUGCUGGAGUGCCGGAGGGGUAAGCGGAAUUCCUAGUGUAGCGGUGAAAUGCGUAGAUAUUAGGAGGAGCACCAGUGGCGGAGGCGGCUUACUGGACGGUAACUGACGCUGAGGCUCGAAAGCGUGGGGAGCAAACAGGAUUAGAUACCCUGGUAGUCCACGCCGUAAAC
rnacentral:rRNA from 1 species